AGCAUGUGGUUUAAUUCGACGCAACGCGAAGAACCUUUACCAGGGCUUGACAUCCCUUGAAGCAGCUAGAGAUAGCUGUGUCCUUCGGGACAAGGAGACAGGUGGUGCAUGGUUGUCGUCAGCUCGUGUCGUGAGAUGUUGGGUUAAGUCCCGCAACGAGCGCAACCCCUGUGGUUAGUUGCCAGCAAGUAGCGUUGGGCACUCUAGCCAGACUGCCGGUGAUAAAUCGGAGGAAGGUGGGGACGACGUCAAAUCAUCAUGCCCUUUAUGUCCUGGGCUACACACGUACUACAAUGGCCGUUACAACGGGAAGCGAAGGAGCAAUCCGGAGCAAAUCCCUUAAAGGCGGUCCCAGUUCAGAUUGUGGGCUGAAACUCGCCCACAUGAAGGCGGAAUUGCUAGUAAUUGCAGAUCAGCAUGCUGCGGUGAAUACGUUCCCGGGCCUU
rnacentral:rRNA from 1 species